UUUGCAAUGUGCGAAGCACGACAAGGUUAAUCCGAGUGUUUCUGCUAAAGAAUCUUUGUCAGUCCUAAAACAACUGAUGAAUAAGGGGUGGGCAAGUUCUGGUGUCAGCCGCCGCGGUAAAACCAGCACCUCAAGUGGUCAGGAGGAUUAUUGGGCCUAAAGCAUCCGUAGCCGGCUCUGUAAGUUUCGGUUAAAUCUAUAUGCUCAACAUAUAGGCUGCCGGGAAUACUGCAUAGCUAGGGAGUGGGAGAGGUAGACGGUACUCGGUAGGAAGGGUAAAGUA
rnacentral:rRNA from 1 species